CUGCUGGUGCCGGAGCUUCGCCUUCGUGCACCUCUCCGGUUGUCCGCCCCUGGCGGAGUCGGCGGGCAAGGCCCCUGGCAGGGCUUUGAGAAGAGAUCCAGUCCUGCGGCGCGCCGGCCUCUCAGCAGCGCGCUCCGGGGACUCCACUUUCACUUGUAUUUCUUGUUUUUACCGGGCCGGGAAGGCGCGCUUCGCAGAGCCCCAGGGCACGCGGUGCUGCAUGGGCCACGGUCCACGGAGCCACGUGGGAUUCCCUGCUGGCCCAGCCGCAUCCCGCAGCUCAGUUUCGGAGAACCGCGUGAGGGCCCGGCAGUGGGCCCCAGGAUCCUGAAGCCACCGAAUACAGGCUGAACCCCAGAGUAGGGCAUGCAGCUCCAGGCCAGAUGGCCAGCUUUGUGUUCUCCACAAAUUGAUGUGACUUGACAAGGCAGAAAAAAAUAUAUCUUUUAAUUCAUGAAAACACUCUGGAAAAGUUUCCUGGCAGUCAUGACUCAGCUAUCUUGAAGAAUGAAUAAUGAUGUUAGCUUUGUUAUUUUCUAAUGUUUUGGUCAGGAGGCCCUGGACUUCAUUUAAUAAUAAAUAUGAAUUUGUAUAAUUUUGAUAACAUUUCAGAAAAAUUUCAACACGAUACAAAACAUUUCUGAAACAUGUUGAUUGAAAUCAUUUAUAUAUGACAAAUGAGCACAUGAUUCACACAGAAGUUAGGGUUGCUUGACUAAUGAAUAAAAAAAUCUGGCAUUUGUAGAAUUUCCCAAGACUCACAAAAUGCCUAAACAAUAUAAGUAGUUUAAAAUGAUUUGCCGAUCCCUGCUAAUUCUUCUUUUUAAGUGUGCUUCACAUUUGUCAUGUGUAAAAACUAAUGUGCUGUGAUAAGAAUCUCAUUUUCAAUUUAGGGAACAAUGGGCUGGUUGGUAGAGAUCACACAUUUCAGUGAUUAGAAUAAAUCUCCAGUGUUCUAAAUUAUCAAAGAAAACCUAUUUUUAAACAAAAUAGAGAAUGGCUGUUAUGGAAAAUACGAUUAUUAUAAAGCAAAAUACUUUUAGGAACUUAAAAUAUAUGGUAAGGUAGAAAAUAUUUUUUAAAAACCUUUUAAAAACCUGCUUCAUUUCAUAAAAUUCUAAGCCGAUUUUGUUUUUAAAAUAAAUGCUAAUUUAUAUAACUACAGUUCACCAACUAUAUUUCAAAUACUUUGGAUUUGGAAAUCCAUUUAUAAGAAUGAUUUAAAAUUAUAAUUUAAAAAUAGAACUAGAUCUUUGUAAACAUCGUAGCACUCUUCAGAUAGCUACUAAAGAGAAUAACAUUUUGCAGUACCAAGGAGUGAAUGAUGGGAAGCAAAGUGUUUCAUUUGGCCACCCCCCUAGUGACAUGCAGUAAUCAGCCCUGAGGAAACUUAAAAAGGUACUGGUAAGGUCCGUAUGGAAUCUGAAAUCUGUCAGUUGUCAGUAAAUAGCUAUUUUUAAGGCCUCUAUCCGGGUGAACAUUAGAUGGCAGUGAGAAGUCUCCCCUCCCUGUGGGAGAAGCCAGCCCACCACAGCUGCACUGCCGCAUCUUGGAGGAGUCCUUGCCAUGCACCCUGCAGCCCUUGACCCAAGUUUAACCCAAGUUUAUCCCUCUGUGCCGUUGGUUCCCAGCCUGGGAAGAGUCCUGGCGUAAGGACUCUUACGCCAGAAUAUACUGCUAUCAAACCAAGGUCUUAGCAUUAAAGUUCACAGGAAUUGAAAAAUACUGAAUUUAUUUGCUCAAAUAUUUCACUUCAUUAAAAACACGAAGUUUUCAUUCAAAAAAGAAAAAUGCAAGCCACUUUUUUGUUUUAAAAAGAAUUAUCAGAAUCACCUUGCUUUUAUCAGCAUUCAAGUUGGCUCAUAUUCUGAAUGAUCUAAAGUUUUUGAAAUCUCCAAAUAGUAACUCUAUUAUGAGAUAUAGUUGCUGUUCCCCCAGUGGCUUAACAUGAUAACAUGAAACCACAUCCUUAAAAACCAAAAAUGUACUUUAACAUAGAUUUAUGCUUGAUAGGAUGGUCAAAAAAGUCCAGAUUUUUGGACUUUCUUUUUCAAACUUUGACACAAUUCAAAGGACAAGAAAAGUCUCAACACCUUGUGAUUACUAUUACUAGUUUUGUCCGUUGACCACAGUAUUCUAAAAACUACCGCUCACUCUGGAAGGCUGAGGCAGGAGGAUUACAAGUUCCAGCCUAACGUGGGCAACUUAGAGACUAUGAGACCUUGCCCCAAAAUAAAAAAUAGAAAAGGGCUGGGGAUGCAGCUCUGUGCAAAGGCCCCGGGUUCAAUUCCCAGGUCCACAAAACCAACCAACAACAGGAAGAAAAAAAACCCCAUACACAACCACUGUUCAUGGGGACAGUAUUUAUAAACAGAACCAUCUUCCUGGAGUUCCUCUACUUUUCAGUCUACCUCCUUGUAAAGAUCUAGUUUUUAUUAUUUACAAAACAGUGUUACAAAAGGUGUGCUUAAGCACUGAUGUUCAGCGUAGUGCGUGUUUUAUGUUUGUGGACAGACAUAGUUCAGCUAGAAUUCCUUGACCGAACACUGUGAGACUCAUCCCCAUGCGGCAAGAAGCUGACUUUUUUGAAAGUGGUUAAAUGGUGCCCUUGUGAUCCAGUGAAGGGAAACAAGGUGCUAUGUGGAGAGUUUCCAGGUAUCUCUGUUUUUCAGUUAAAAGCUCUUUCGUGCAUUUUGUCACUUACAAGUUGCAGGUCCAUUAUAGUUGUCUAAAAACAGCUUUUCCCUUGAAUUGCUCUGAAUUAAAAGUAGAACAACAGUUCAGGUAAACGUUUGUUUCACAAUUACAUAACUCGGCGAUGUUUGCAUAGACUCUCAGAAAGGUGCCAAUGUAUAUUUUAAUGCCUGAAGACAGGCUCUGAUGAAAUGAAAGAAUGGCCGCUGCCUACCGAGCUUGCCUCUGUACUGGACUCUGAGGAAAGGAAUCCCUAUAAAGUGCCGUCUCCUGACUAUAUUGCAAGUGGGUUUGUAAGCAUUCAGACUGAACAUGAACGAAGACUCAGAGCAACCAGUUGCCUGGUGUGGAGAAGACACAGAGCUCACCAUCACCCUAUAGAGUGAGUCUCGGUUGUCCAGAGCUCUGUACAAAUUCACUCGCAGCUGCUAGAGCCAGUCGAAUGGAAACAGCAGCUCCUCAUCUACAGACUCAGUCUGACAUGUGCUGCUAUCUACGAGGGAUGCUGGGCGUGGACGAUGCUGUGUGCCGUGCACUCUGACGCGCUUGCAGGCCGUCUCCUUGGCGCAUACGCCCUUCAGCUUUGCCCAGUCAGUUCAGAGAUUCCCAUCUGUAAUCAUCUCCACAGGCACUCCAUCUAAACUGGAAGUCUAAUCUCAUGGCUUUAAAUCGUUCUUUGCUUCUGAUUCCCCCAAACUGGAUAACUUCACUCGAUCACCCCUUGCUUUCUCUGUCCUUUUCUCCAGUUACUUUUGAGAAUUAAAAAAAAAUAUAAACUACCUUUUAAAAGAUCCCUUCCUCCCACUGAGAAUAUGUUUUUAAAAGGCCAUUUCAACAGAUUAGUGCUCUGAGUCUGGUAAGCUGUGUGGGGUGGCAGGGCAAGGCCUACCCUUCUGGGAUGCAUGGGGAGUGGCGUCACCUCUGGAACCUUUACUUUUCCUCUGUUGGGUUCCCAGUUUCCAUGGCGACAAUCUCUCUGUCCUCAAUGUCCAUCUCUAGGGUGAAGCUUGAGGCUUUCCUGUCCUUUGUCCUUGCCCCCCACCAGAUUCUGCCACUUUCUCAGGGUGUCACUUUGUCUGUCCCCAUUCCAAGCCCCACCUGUGUUAAGGGCAUUGGCCCAGGUGGCCCUGAUGACUCCUCCUGCAUCCACUUAGCUGGCUUCCUCCCUCCCUGAGAAUUCAGCACCUCUCCCUGACCUUCAGAGUGUCCCUGCCCCUUGUGUCCCUAUAUGCACUGCAGUCCUUAUCCCUGAUCGACUGCUCCAAAGUUAUUACAUGCAAAAGCCUAGCAAUAAACAAUUCACAAGUCUUCAGUUAUGCACUUGCCUGCUGCCCAACCUGCCCUGCCCUAGAUGGGAAUCAUGCCUGGACCCCCUGGCCAAGAUGUCUACAUGGCCUGCCUGGUUAGUCACUCUGAGCCAUCUCUGCUACCGGAUCAGCUGCUACAGAACCACAAGGCUUGUGUUCAAGUGACCUUUAUACUUAAUGACAGGCCCCAGUGCAUGAGAGCAGCAAUUCACGUAAAGCUUUUCUUUAUGACAUAAACACUCAGUCAUAAGAUCCAUAUUUUUGAAAAUGUUUAUGUACUUCACCUCUCAAUAAUUGAAAGAGAUGUUUUCAAAUCAUCUACUAUCAUGAUGAAUGUUUUGAUUUCUUCCUGUAAUCUUAUCAGUUUUUGCUUUAUGUACUUUAGAGUUAUUUUAAGAGAUGGGGAAGGAGGAAUCAGAUGGGAAGGAGAAAUAAAAAGAAUUAAGAUGCAUUAUAUACAUGCACCAACUCCCCACAAUGAAUGUAAAUCAUGUACUGCAGACAUUGACUAAUGAAAAAAAAUUCAAGUUCAAGGGGCUGGGGAUUUAGCUCAGUGGCACCACACCUGCCUCACAAGCGCAAGGUCCUGAGUUCGAUCCCUGGUACCGCAAAAAAAAAAAAAAUUUUUUUUUAAGUUCAAACAAAACAAGAAAAGCCAAAGAAAAGCCACACAAUGCUUCCUUCAAGUGAAGAGGUGAGGGUGCUCAAUUAAGGAGAGGGAAAAUCAUAUGUUGAGGUAACGGAGAUCUACGGUGAGCACAAGACACAGCAGAAAGUGCAGAGUGGCAUAUACCAUGUGUGGGCUUAGGGCGUGGGUGGCAUCCUCAGCAGGUCAGGGGGACAUGACCACCUCAUACACACAUAUGCAGGACUGUGCACGUGUACACACAACUCAUGAAUGCCCCACAGUGUUCCUGCACUGUGCACAACUUCACAGAAACAUGCAUCCCUGUACUUUGUUUCCUUCCCAUCUCUCAAAGGCCAGGGCUUUGUGCACUGAGAAACCAAAGGGAAAACGAAGUCUUUCAAACUGGUCAGUGCUGGAGCCACAGCAAACCCACAAGCACAUGCACCUGUGCGAACACAUGCAUGGCACACAUAUAGCCAUAGCCUCAGGGCAGCACAGGGGUGAUGUGGGCUCCCUGGUCUCCCCUGGGUCCUCCAAGCAACCUCUGAGCAGGCAUUAUUAUUUAAAUGAUAACUCAGUGGUAGUAAUCGUUUUUGAACAAGGAGAGGGCUUUGACCCUCGAUCUUUUAUGUGAUGUGUCCUGUGAACACAUUUAAAAACCUCCGGCGUCUCUCCUCACACUUGCUCAGCUGCUGCCCCUUCCUGUGCCAGAUCCUGGAGCAUGCAGUACAAAUCUGUCCCUCACUGGGGACAAGAGCACUGGGGUUUCCCAAGACAGCACAAGUGUUGCCUGAGCUGGGUGGCAUUGGUGGCCCCUUCAGCAUGGACUGGGUGACGUCGACAGGGCAAAGCCGUGCUGCCUUCAGCUUUUAUCAGUUUCAGUAUCUGUGGGUUUGGAGUUGAUACCUGUUAAACAAACACAGCAAGAGACAUAGACAGGAUGGUACAGAUGUGUGAGGCUGGCCCGGCCCAUGCUGACGCAUAGCUGGGUGGCCUCCCCACCCCGAGGCCAAGGGAGGAUGGCGGGAGGAGCCUCAGAGAAUGUGGUGGUGACCCUCAGACCUUGAGUGGCCCACAGGCCAGAAAUCCUGGAGUGGAAAUGGAGGAAAAGAGGGUCAUAGCUGCAUUAUGCGACACUUGAGAACAGAUCAGUAAGAGAGGCUCCCGAGUGCAGCCCAUCCAGGGAGAUCAGCUACACCUGGGUGGCCGGUUCUGAGACAUAUGGGUGGUGACCUGUGGCCAGUGUCUUGGCCAGCAUGAGAGGACAAUUUGGCCAGGAGUCCUAGUGUCUACAGGACUACACCUCCCAGGCUGCUGAGACUGUCGGGUAAAAAGUACUGCUUAGGUGCGGAGUUUGGGGACAACAUCUUCUGCCAUAGAUGUCAGCACAAUGGUAAGCGAAAGCAAGCUCCUGGUAAGGAACACCUGAGGCAGGGCCUUCCUGAGAAAAGCAGUCCUCUAGGUAAGGCCAAGACAUGACGAUGGAUGCAUCGGAGGUGGGAUGCUCCUGUGGACGACUCCUGUGUCUACUGCCCCAAGAUCCCCAGAGAUCCCUGGCCUCUGCCCCUGCUCGCCUUCAGGAGCUCAGACAGGGGCUUCUGCCCAGCCUGGACCCUCAGCAGUGGGUGCCGGAGUGUUGUUGCCCUCACAAAUGGCUUUUCCUUCCUCUGCAAUCUUCAUCAGAGUGCAGCAAAUACUCUGAAAGCAUCACCCCAAGGGGCGCAGGCUCCUCACAGGUCACCUCUGUCUAUGUGGGGAAGGAGGGACAGCCUCUGUCACUUCUGUCACUGUCAGCCCUGGGCUGGGGUGGCUGGCCGGUUCUUCUGUCUUCUUCCUGUUGCUACUCACAUGCCAGGGUGCCCAGGGGCAGCCCCUUGUGGGGUUGGGAGAAGGGUCAGCUCUAGUCUGCCUUUUGCCAGCUGUGGACCUGUGCCUCAGUUUCUUCAUCUGAAAAGGGGGCUUGCAGAGGACAGGAAGUGCCAGAUGGAGCACCCAGGACAGCAUAUGGCCACGGACACCCCAGAAAACAGGCUGCUACUUAUUGCUAUGGUUACCUACAUCUGCUGUGCCCCUCAUCUCAUCAUUUAGGAUCAGUGCUAAUGCUCUGAUGACGAUGGCAUCAGUCAGCAAUAAGGAGAAGUCACCAGAGCAGAAGAUGGUCCCAGCAAGGGUGCCCACCAGCCUAAGGUGGCCGGAGCCAGGGCUUCUGUGCCUCCUCAGGCAUGUGAUCCCUCCUCAGGGCCUACGGGAGGGGAAGAACAGUUGGAGAUAGACACCCACCUGACUCCCAAGUUCACGGUGGUUGACAGAGGUGAUUCCUUUGCUCGCCUGACAUAUAUGUUCCUUCUCAGCUUUGACACAUGCUGCAUACUUGCAUGUUCUGUGUGUGUAUUCAUUUGUGUGUGUGUGCAGUUGAGAACAGCUUUCACAUCAGAAGCCCUCUUGCAAUGACUGGGUUAUGACCAAGUAACCUGUGUGCAGUGCUGGGCUCCAUGCUCCCCUGCAUGCAUGGGGCUCUCCUCAAAUCCACAUGACCCCAGGAAAGGGACACUGAGGAUAGAGGUCCUGGGUGACCUGCUGGAGGCUGUGCAGGUCAAGGUCUGGGUGCCCUCCCCCGAAGAGAACUCUGACCAGUGCUCCCUGAAUUGAAGAGAACCAUGCUAAACUGAAUCCACUAUGGCUUCUCAUCAGCCCCAGCAUUCCACAUUGUCCUUCUACACACACGCACGCACGCACACACAUGCACACCCUGUGCCCUGUGCCAUACUCACGGACAGGGCUGUCACUCCACUGAGACCACUGAUGAAUGCUGCAGCCCACUCUGAACAUGUGCUCGCCAAGCACUAUCCAGGGGGGGAUCACCAACCAUCCCGGACGAGGGUGACCCUGAGAGGUAGAGGCAGAUCCCUUAUGCAAUUUUUGGAACAAAAGGAACAACAGCAGUUCCAUGCUUUUCAUUUUUAUCCUCCUCAUGGAGGAACAGACUCCUCAAUAUCUUGUCUAAUGGUGGCAGAUGUCCCUGUAGAGGUGGUGACCUAUAUCGUGCAGAGGGGACAGGAGAGGAAGAAGGACUGUGUGCAAGGCUGGUGGCAAAAGUCAUGCUGCUUGUCCCCUUAGAACAAGGUCUGGCCCCUGUAGCUGAGCUUCCAGCUGCAGAGCAAGUGGCCAGUGCACCCAGAGAUGCCCAGAGACAGAGAUGGGGAGAGAACAGUGGGUACCUGAGUGCUCUUGCCAGGCGUGGGAGUACUAAGGACCCUGUGUUUCUGAUGAAAUUGCCAUCACUGGCCAUGCUGCACAUGUGCCCGAACUUUUACAAAAUCAUAUAAGCAUCGUUGGAAGCGAUCUCUGCCUUUAUGCAUUUUAAGGCGGUUUAGUGUUCCACAUGUAAGGCCCAGUGCUGGUGGUGCCUGUGAUUGGUAAUUCUCUCUGUGGGACUUAUGGGUUCAUAAAGCAAAGAAUGUAAUCUAAUCACCCAUAGGUACAUGAUUUCUUUAUCCCUCCUAUCAGAUGUAAUGUGGGUCAUAGUCACAAUUUAAUAACGGCCCAAGUAGGGCUCAAUAAAAGUUACCAUUAAGAGCUGAAAAUGUUCUCCCAUUUAUUUCCCUGACAGAGCCUGGCUGCCACACAGGGUUUGGAUGGAGAUUAAUGUCACCUGAGAACUGAUGCCCUGCCAGGGCGAGAGAAACCAUGUCGAGCCAGGGCUCGAUGCUGAGCUCUGGCUGUACCCACAGAGGGGAGAGUCGGGGGUUCUGUUUCCCAUGUGGGGUUGCAGCUGGCAGGGAUACACUGCUCGUAGCGGAGCUGCUUGGCUGUUAUCCUGUCUGCUGGGGACAGCAGUGUGUUCUCGGUCUCCAGUGGGAGAGGACAUACAUGUCACGGGUAACUAUGAUCCUCAAUGCCACCUUCUAUGCAGCAAGUCCUAGUGGCUGUGCU